GCACACUAUAAAUAAUCAUACAAAUUUCUCUUCAAAUGCAACAAGGAAAAAUAUGUCAAAAGUUUUCAUGUUUGUUUAUGUUAUGAUUAUUUUUAUUUUCAUAGUCAUCACUGUAACGGACGGAGGAGUACUUAUAUGUCAUUCUGAUAAAGAAUGUCGUGCUUUUUAUUGUGAAGCUCCAAAAUAUCCAAGAUGUGUAGCUUUAUUGUGUAAAUGUUGGUAGUGGCAGAAACAAUUAAAAUUAAAAAUAAUAUUAUGGGACUUCUAAGAUAUUGUUAUUGUAUUUAAAAAUAUGUUAUUGGUACACUAAUGAUUUCUCUCAUACUUUUGUCUUCAAUAAAUAAAUACAAAAAGUCUUCAAUAAAUAAAGGAAA